GAUGAACGCUGGCGGCGUGCCUAAUACAUGCAAGUAGAACGCUGAAGGAGGAGCUUGCUCUUCUGGAUGAGUUGCGAACGGGUGAGUAACGCGUAGGUAACCUGCCUGGUAGCGGGGGAUAACUAUUGGAAACGAUAGCUAAUACCGCAUGACAACAGUUAUUGCAUGAUAACUGUUUAAAAGGGGCAACUGCUCCACUACCAGAUGGACCUGCGUUGUAUUAGCUAGUUGGUGAGGUAACGGCUCACCAAGGCGACGAUACAUAGCCGACCUGAGAGGGUGAUCGGCCACACUGGGACUGAGACACGGCCCAGACUCCUACGGGAGGCAGCAGUAGGGAAUCUUCGGCAAUGGACGGAAGUCUGACCGAGCAACGCCGCGUGAGUGAAGAAGGUUUUCGGAUCGUAAAGCUCUGUUGUAAGAGAAGAACGAGUGUGAGAGUGGAAAGUUCACACUGGGACGGUAUCUUACCAGAAAGGGACGGCUAACUACGU
rnacentral:rRNA from 1 species